rnacentral:misc_RNA from 1 species
GAUGAAGAACGCAGCGAAAUGCGAUACGUAGUGUGAAUUGCAGAAUUCAGUGAAUCAUCGAAUCUUUUAACGCACAUUGCACCUCUCGGUAUUCCGGGAGGUAUGCCUGUUCGAGCGUCAUUUGUACCCUCAAGCUCUGCUUGGUGUUGGGUGUUUGUUCCGCCUCUGUGUGUGAACUCGCCUCAAAACAAUUGGCAGCCGGCGUACUUGUUUCGGAGCGCAGCACAUUUUGCGAUCCAGAUCAACGUACAGCGGCAUCCAAGAAGCCUUAUUUAACGCUCUUGACCUCGGAUCAGGUAGGGAUACCCGCUGAACUUAAGCAUAUCAAUAAGCGGAGGA